AGAGUUUGAUCAUGGCUCAGAUUGAACGCUGGCGGCAGGCCUAACACAUGCAAGUCGAACGGUAACAGGAAGCAGCUUGCUGCUUUGCUGACGAGUGGCGGACGGGUGAGUAAUGUCUGGGAAACUGCCUGAUGGAGGGGGAUAACUACUGGAAACGGUGGCUAAUACCGCAUAAUGUCGCAAGACCAAAGAGGGGGACCUUCGGGCCUCUUGCCAUCAGAUGUGCCCAGAUGGGAUUAGCUUGUUGGUGAGGUAACGGCUCACCAAGGCGACGAUCCCUAGCUGGUCUGAGAGGAUGACCAGCCACACUGGAACUGAGACACGGUCCAGACUCCUACGGGAGGCAGCAGUGGGGAAUAUUGCACAAUGGGCGCAAGCCUGAUGCAGCCAUGCCGCGUGUAUGAAGAAGGCCUUCGGGUUGUAAAGUACUUUCAGCGGGGAGGAAGGUGUUGUGGUUAAUAACCACAGCAAUUGACGUUACCCGCAGAAGAAGCACCGGCUAACUCCGUGCCAGCAGCCGCGGUAAUACGGAGGGUGCAAGCGUUAAUCGGAAUUACUGGGCGUAAAGCGCACGCAGGCGGUCUGUCAAGUCGGAUGUGAAAUCCCCGGGCUCAACCUGGGAACUGCAUUCGAAACUGGCAGGCUUGAGUCUUGUAGAGGGGGGUAGAAUUCCAGGUGUAGCGGUGAAAUGCGUAGAGAUCUGGAGGAAUACCGGUGGCGAAGGCGGCCCCCUGGACAAAGACUGACGCUCAGGUGCGAAAGCGUGGGGAGCAAACAGGAUUAGAUACCCUGGUAGUCCACGCCGUAAACGAUGUCUACUUGGAGGUUGUGCCCUUGAGGCGUGGCUUCCGGAGCUAACGCGUUAAGUAGACCGCCUGGGGAGUACGGCCGCAAGGUUAAAACUCAAAUGAAUUGACGGGGGCCCGCACAAGCGGUGGAGCAUGUGGUUUAAUUCGAUGCAACGCGAAGAACCUUACCUGGUCUUGACAUCCACGGAAGUUUUCAGAGAUGAGAAUGUGCCUUCGGGAACCGUGAGACAGGUGCUGCAUGGCUGUCGUCAGCUCGUGUUGUGAAAUGUUGGGUUAAGUCCCGCAACGAGCGCAACCCUUAUCCUUUGUUGCCAGCGGUCCGGCCGGGAACUCAAAGGAGACUGCCAGUGAUAAACUGGAGGAAGGUGGGGAUGACGUCAAGUCAUCAUGGCCCUUACGACCAGGGCUACACACGUGCUACAAUGGCGCAUACAAAGAGAAGCGACCUCGCGAGAGCAAGCGGACCUCAUAAAGUGCGUCGUAGUCCGGAUUGGAGUCUGCAACUCGACUCCAUGAAGUCGGAAUCGCUAGUAAUCGUGGAUCAGAAUGCCACGGUGAAUACGUUCCCGGGCCUUGUACACACCGCCCGUCACACCAUGGGAGUGGGUUGCAAAAGAAGUAGGUAGCUUAACCUUCGGGAGGGCGCUUACCACUUUGUGAUUCAUGACUGGGGUGAAGUCGUAACAAGGUAACCGUAGGGGAACCUGCGGUUGGAUCACCU
rnacentral:rRNA from 1 species